rnacentral:sRNA from 1 species
CGCCGUGCUCUUCGAGGCCAUCAGCUUAAUCAUUCACCAUGACAGUGAGCCGAACCUGCUUGUCCGCGCCUGCAACCAGUUGGGCCAGUUCCUGCAGCACCGCGAGACCAACCUGCGCUACCUGGCCCUGGAGAGCAUGUGCACGCUGGCCAGCUCCGAGUUCUCCCACGAGGCUGUCAAGACGCACAUCGAGACGGUCAUCAACGCCCUGAAGACUGAGCGGGACGUGAGCGUGCGGCAGCGGGCCGUGGACCUCCUCUACGCCAUGUGCGACCGCAGCAACGCCCCACAGAUCGUGGCCGAGAUGCUGAGCUAUCUGGAGACAGCUGACUACUCCAUCCGAGAAGAGAUUGUGAGUUCUGGUGGCCUCUGAGUCCUCUCCUGCCACAGGCGUGAAUCUCAGCGGCAGGAUUUCCUUCGUGCUCUGCGAUUCUGUCCAGCAGGGCUUGAUUGAGAACCCAUGAGAUGCUGAAUACAAGGCUCCUCUGCC